rnacentral:rRNA from 1 species
UACAGAGGUCUCAAGCGUUGUUCGGAUUCAUUGGGCGUAAAGGGUGCGUAGGCGGCGCGGUAAGUCGGGUGUGAAAUCUCGGGGCUUAACUCCGAAACUGCAUUCGAUACUGCCGUGCUUGAGGACUGGAGAGGAGACUGGAAUUUACGGUGUAGCGGUGAAAUGCGUAGAUAUCGUAAGGAAGACCAGUGGCGAAGGCGGGUCUCUGGACAGUUCCUGACGCUGAGGC